rnacentral:piRNA from 1 species
UCAUUGAACAUGUGGUUUCUGAGUAGC